GACAAACGCUGGCGGCGUACCUAAGACAUGCAAGUCGAACGGGGACUCCGUCUUCGGAUGGAGUUCGAGUGGCGAACGGGUGAGUAACACGUAGGAACCUGCCGCGUCGUGGGGGAUAACAGCCGGAAACGGGUGCUAAUACCGCAUGUGGUCACCUUCGGGUGAAGAAAGCAGCAAUGCGCGACGUGAGGGGCCUGCGGCCGAUUAGCUGGUUGGUGUGGUAACGGCGCACCAAGGCGACGAUCGGUAGCUGGUCUGAGAGGAUGGUCAGCCACACUGGGACUGAGAUACGGCCCAGACUCCUACGGGAGGCAGCAGUUAGGAAAUUUUCCCAAUGGGCGCAAGCCUGAGGGAGUAACGCCGCGUGGAGG
rnacentral:rRNA from 1 species